CAGCCGCCACGGGAAAACGUAGGGCGCAAGCGUUAUCCGGAAUUAUUGGGCGUAAAGAGCUCGUAGGCGGUUUGUCGCGUCUGCCGUGAAAGUCCGGGGCUCAACCCCGGAUCUGCGGUGGGUACGGGCAGACUAGAGUGAUGUAGGGGAGACUGGAAUUCCUGGUGUAGCGGUGAAAUGCGCAGAUAUCAGGAGGAACACCGAUGGCGAAGGCAGGUCUCUGGGCAUUAACUGACGCUGAGGAGCGAAAGCAUGGGGAGCGAACAGGAUUAGAUACCCCCGUAGUCCCUGUCUCUUAUAC
rnacentral:rRNA from 1 species